rnacentral:rRNA from 1 species
CGCUAACUGCACUCUAGCGGUCAGAAACUUGCUUCUCUUGAAGCGGCGGACGGGUGAAUAAUGCCUACGAAUCUGCCUGGUAGUGGGGGAUAACGUUCCGAAACCGACGCUAAUACCGCAUACGUCCUACGGGAGAAAGCAGGGGACCUUCGGGCCUUGCGCUAUCAGAUGAGCCUAGGUCGGAUUAGCUAGGUGGUGAGGUAAUGGCUCACCAAGGCGACGAUCCGUAACUGGUCUGAUAGGAUGAUCAGUCACGCUGGAACUGAGACACGGUCCAGACUCCUACAGGAGGCACCAGUGGGGAAUAUUGGACGAUGGGCGAAAGCCUGAUCCAGCCAUGCCGCGUGUGUGAAGAAGGUCUUCGGAUUGUAAAGCACUUUAAGUUGGGAGGAAGGGCAGUUACCUAAUACGUGAUUGUUUUGACGUUACCGACAGAAUAAUCACCGGCUAACUCUGUGCCAGCAACCGCGGUAAUACAGAGGGUGCGAGCGUUAAUCGGAAUUACUGGGCGUAAAGCGCGCGUAGGUGGUUUGUUAAGUUGGAUGUGAAAUCCCCGGGCUCAACCUGGGAACUGCAUUCGAAACUGACUGACUACAGUAUGGUAGAGGGUGGUGGAAUUUCCUGUGUAGCGGUGAAAUGCGGAAAUAUAUGAAGGAGCACAAGUGGCAAAAGCGAGCACCUGGACUGAUACUGACACUGAGGUGCGAAAGCGUGGGGAGCAAACUGGAUUAGAUACCGUGGAAGUCCACGCCGUAAACGAUGUCGACUAGGACGUUGGGAGCCGUGAGCUCUUAGUGGCGCAUCUAACGCAUUGAGUUGACGGCCUGCGGAGAACGGGCCGCAAGGCUAGAAAUCGAAUGAAUUGACUGGGGCCGGCACAAGCGGA